rnacentral:lncRNA from 1 species
GGCCGCGCUGGCCGGGCUCCGCCUCCCGCCGGCGGUCAGAGACGCCCCCCACGGUCAGCGCUGGGAGGGGGAGGGGGUGACCUGCAGGAAAUGCCGGGCCGGGUUGCCGAGCUUCAGCCCGGAGCCCCUCCUCAGCAAUGCCAGCCGCUUCUGCUGGCGUCAGGAUGCUGCCUUUUCUGGUGUAAGCUGCAACUCCUCCUGGAAGCGAAAGCUCCGGCGGGAUUUCCUCUCCACGGAGGGUGUAUGUGAGGUCUGAACUGCCCCCAGAGCUGUACUGCAGCCUCCUCUGACUCAGGGAAGAACUUCCACUGGAUUCUUACUGACCACGCCGAUGCCCAGUGCUGGGAGGAACAAGAAAAUUUAGCCAGGACCAUUAUCUGCCCACAUUGCUCCUUCGGCAGUGGAAGAUGAACAAACUGAGAUCAAGGCGGAAAAAAACUUAACCACUGGUCGCAGUCCUACCCACAGCCCUCCAGGAUUAGCACCAAGACUUGACUUCACUAUUUCAGGGCCAGGAGAAGAAAGAGCACAUUACAGCUGGUGACAGAGCUGAGGAUUCAGCAAAUCCUGGAAGCCUUUGCCUGUUCUUCCUUCUUUCCACUGGGAGUCACAUGUGUAAGCAGCAACACAAGGAAGAAGAAAGACAGUGGACCCAAACAAAUCAGGAAUCAAGAUCCCAAGCUGGAAGGAAUACACUCAGAUGGCAACAGUGGUGGCCUGGAGGAGCAGGAACACUGCUAUCAUUCCAUACCUCAACCUCCUAUCUCCUGGAGCUCUUCGGAAGUGGCUGCUGUGGAUGGCCCAGAUGUAGCCCUGUGGCUGGAGCCCGGUCUUGGCACAAUUUCCUGGACCACAAAUGGCUUUCCUGAGAGCAAGUUCUUCAGCUUGCACUCAGGGAUGAGUAGCUGGAGACAUUUCCC